GACGAACGCUGGCGGCGUGCUUAACACAUGCAAGUCGAACGGAAAGGCCCUGCUUUUGUGGGGUGCUCGAGUGGCGAACGGGUGAGUAACACGUGAGUAACCUGCCCUUGACUUUGGGAUAACUUCAGGAAACUGGGGCUAAUACCGGAUAGGAGCUCCUGCUGCAUGGUGGGGGUUGGAAAGUUUCGGCGGUUGGGGAUGGACUCGCGGCUUAUCAGCUUGUUGGUGGGGUAGUGGCUUACCAAGGCUUUGACGGGUAGCCGGCCUGAGAGGGUGACCGGCCACAUUGGGACUGAGAUACGGCCCAGACUCCUACGGGAGGCAGCAGUGGGGAAUAUUGCACAAUGGGCGGAAGCCUGAUGCAGCAACGCCGCGUGCGGGAUGACGGCCUUCGGGCUGUAAACCGCUUUCGCCUGUGACGAAGCGUGAGUGACGGUAAUGGGUAAAGAAGCACCGGCUAAGUACGUG
rnacentral:rRNA from 1 species